rnacentral:rRNA from 1 species
GCAGUGGAUACGGGCAGGCUAGAGUCAGGUAGGGGAGAACGGAAUUCCUGGUGUAGCGGUGAAAUGCGCAGAUAUCAGGGGGAACACCGGUGGCGAAGGCGGUUCUCUGGGCCUGUACUGACGCUGAGGAACGAAAGCGUGGGGAGCGAACAGGAUUAGAUACCCUGGUAGUCCACGCCGUAAACGGUGGGCGCUAGAUGUGGGGACCUUCCACGGUUUCUGCGUCGCAGCUAACGCAU